GCCUGAGGCUGGGGCUCAAGGGUGCUGUGUCCAGAGGACAGAGAGAGUAGGUGAAGCAGCUCCCCACUCCUUAGCUCUUUGUCUAGGUGUCAGGUAUGACUGUUGUGGGGGGGGGGGGCCAAAUGGACCAGCCCUUUCCUGCUGAGUUUCCGGGGGACUUCUGUACCCAGGGGCAGGUUGACAACAGAGAGAUGGCUUUGCGUACAACCAACACAACCUGCUCUCUGAAAGAAGAGCUUUGUCUUUUUCCACUUUAUGACCUCAGCUUUGGGGAAAGCUUUGGCUCCCCAAAUGUAGCCUGAAAACAUGGAUGAUGACGCAGGUCAGAGGCAGUGAGUGGCAGUCAGUGGCAGUGACCUGAGCUGAGUUCCCUCCUCGGGCUUGGGGGAUGGAUAAAGUAAGUUGCCCAGGGUCGUCCUGCUGAUAGUGAAGGAAGGGAAACUAAUGAUAACUCUGUGCCAGGCACUGUUACACACUCUGUCCCCUUCAAUCCCCUGCAAACCUGCGAAAUGAACAUUCUCAUCCCAAUUUUACAGAUGUGAAAACUGCAGCUCAGACAGGAAAAUUUGCCCCAAGUUACCCAGCUUGUAAGUGACCCGCUGGAAUUUGAACUCUAGGUCUGUUUGACUCGAAGACCCAUAGGCGAUUAUUUCGUUGGUUUUCGUUUUCACUGUUCCACUCUCUAUCUGCGGACUCGGAGCGGAGGUGGAUGGAUCUAUGGCUUGGUGGACUCCAGGUUCAAUGAUCAGCUCACACUCAACAAGUCCGAAACAGAACUCAUCAGUCUCCUGGUACUGUUGAUGGCACUACCAUUGUGCCAGUCAUCUGCCCUUGACAAUCUCCACAUUAUUUGGGCUGCCCUUCUUUCCCUCAUCCUCCAUGUACACUGAGUCAUGGAGCAAAAUCCCUUUCCUUCAUAAUGUCUGCGUGUGCCAGAAGCUGCGUGAGCUUCUGAAGGUAGAACAAAAAUCAAGAUGUGAUCCCUGACUUGAAGAGUUUGGAUCCUACCAGAGGAACAAUCCAAGGCAGAAAGUGCUGAGUGCCACAUCAGCGGCAGCAGAGAAAGGACUAAGGGAGCCUGGUAGAGACAGCGUUCAUGUCUGCUAUUGGGGAUCAGGGAAGAGUCGUGGUAGAACAGCCACAGUCCGUGACGGGAGAAGUGCAUCAUGAGAAAAGAGACCCAGGAGAGCAACUGACUGAAGUGCUCUUGGAAUGACGACUUCAGUUUGCUGGUGCAUUGGGUCAAAGCACCGGGGAAACAUGGUUGAGGUCGGCACUGUGGAUGAGGCAUACAAAAGCCAGUUACAGCUCCAUUCUGUCUUGCUUUCCCAUAUUAUGGAGCUAGAAAACUGAAAUACCUGGUUCCCCAGCUCCUCUUGCAACUAUGCAUGACCAAUUUCUGUCCAGAGAGAGUAAAGAGAGGGCAACCCAGUGAAAGUCAUGGGAAAGUGUUUGAAAAGUGAAUAGGCUGUGCUGGCAUGCCCACCUUGGGCUUCCUCCCUCUCCCUUCUUCUUCCUAGUUAGGAACACACAUGCUUACUUGUGGGUAAAGCAGCCAUCUUGGCAACAUAAGACCUCCCCAAAAUAAGGAUAUGUUUGUAGGAUGACAGAGGAGAAAGAGAGAAAGAUCUUGCUUUCUCAGAUGACAUCAUCUGGCUGCUGUGAAGCCCUAGACUGUUUUCCCCACAUGCCUUAUGCAUGAAAAAAAAAUCCCUAUUUAAGUAAAAAUCACUGUUAGUCAGAUUUUCUAUAACUUGCAGCUGAAUAAGAUGCUAACCUAUAAAGCCAUAUGUUAGAAAUACUGAGUACUAUUCUAGAUAAAUUGAAGUUUAUUCUAUAAGCAAGGAAGUUGCAGACAGCUCUUCACAUAGAGGUUAGGGGGAUGCUAUUAUCAGAAAAUUCUCUCCUUUUGCUGUUCACUGUCCGUGCCCUUCACGCUCAGUUCAGUGUCCACCUAUUCAUGGCAGCUUCUGUCUCUUGUCCUGGUCACCUUUAUCCUCACUCUCUGCUGGGCUAUUAUCAAGUAUAGCUUACUGACAUGUAUUGUUACUGAUUCUUCAUGAGUUUAUGUUAUGUAUUCCCAAUAGGACUGUAAUAGUGGUCAUGUUUUAUACUUCCUCUCUCUCUGUCUCUCUCAGUGCCCGGGCUGGAGAGAAGAACACAGUGGUUCCAUGCUCAGGCUGGAGAGAGUUACCACACUUCCUGAUCCUGACCUCCAGUGGAGGAGGGUGGAACCUAACGGCAUCAUUUGGAUCAUACUUGACUCCAGCGAUUACUCCAAACUUGAAGAGCAGCGAGUGGAGUCUUUGUCUUUUAACCCUAUCAAGUGACCUGGUCUUUAAUGCGUGAUUGGCAAUAAUGGAGGAGAUUCAGACAACCAUCCCCUGUCACAGCUUCCUGCUGGAGAGGCAGCAAGAAGCUAGGACUUAAACUCUGAGGGCAGAGUAUCCUGGAUUCACACCCCGACUCUGUUGUUUCCUGGUUGUGUGGCCUUCGGCAAGUCCCUGAACAUCGCGGUAGCUCAAUUUCCUGGUUUGUAAGAUGGGUGAAAAGAAUUCCUUAGGAUGAGGUAAUCUGGGCAAAGUUCCUGUCAUGUAAGAGAUAUUCAGGAAAUAUUGGUUUCUUCACUCCUCCCCACGCCACACACGUGUUGAAUACAGUAACUUUAUUUUCACCACCACCUUACAAGAAACAAUGGCACGCCUAGGUCCAGAGGGUUGAAGUGAUGCACUCAAGAUCACAUAGGUGGUGGCCGCGUUGGACCUCGAACUUGAGCUUCCUAACAUCUUGCUCAGCGCUCUUUUCAUAAUGCAAGACUUUGUUACAAAGGACACAAGUGUGAACUAAAAGCACUGUGGAAUUCUUCCACACGGUAUUGCUCCCAUAGGACAAUCUCACUGUCAAUGUCACAUGGUAAAAUUCCUACAGGUCAUUUGAAGGAAAAUGAAUAACGCACUUACUGUGCAUUUGGCUUUUAAAUUAUUUUACAUGAAUUAACUCAUUUAAUCCUCCCAGCUACCCUCUGAGGUAACUGUGAUGAUCAUUUUCAUUUUGUCAUUGGGGAAACUGAGGCACAGAGAGGUUAAGUAAUCUGGCCAGGGAUAAUCAGCCAGAAAAUG
ensembl:lncRNA